rnacentral:rRNA from 1 species
AACGGCCGUACCAUGCUGAAUAUACCGGUUCUCGUUAGAUCACCGAAGUUAAGCAUCAUUGGGCGCGGUCAGUUCUUGGGUGGGUGACCACCUGGGAACACUGCGUGCCGUU